rnacentral:rRNA from 1 species
AUUGAACGCUGGCGGCAGGCCUAACACAUGCAAGUCGAACGAGUGGCGGACGGGUGAGUAAUGUCUGGGAAACUGCCCGAUGGAGGGGGAUAACUACUGGAAACGGUAGCUAAUACCGCAUACCCUUGGAUGUGCCCAGAUGGGAUUAGCUAGUAGGUGGGGUAACGGCUAACCUAGGCGACGAUCCCUAGCUGGUCUGAGAGGAUGACCAGCCACACUGGAACUGAGACACGGUCCAGACUCCUACGGGAGGCAGCAGUGGGGAAUAUGGGACAAUGGGGGAAAGCCUGAUGCAGCCAUGCCGCGUGUAUGAAGAAGGCCUUCGGGUUGUAAAGUACUUUCAGCGAGGAGGCGGUACUCGCAGAAGAAGCACCGGCUAACUACGUGCCAGCAGCCGCGGUAAUAC